rnacentral:lncRNA from 1 species
UUCUUUUCACAUCGUAUUCACAAAAUAGAUGUUUCUCUUUUCUAAUUUUUUUUUUCAAUGCUUGCUCGGUUAUUCAAGAGUUGUGGCACCUACUGAUUCUCAUUUUCGUUCUCCCCAACUUAUCUUUUACUCACCCCAAGUGAAUGCUCUUGACUUUUUACGGCAAAAGAACAAUUAUCAAAAAUUUCAGGGUUUCAAGAA